UCGUAUGUCUCAUAGAAUGUAAUCGAUAUCCUCGCCCUGAAAAAGCGUUGAUAAACUUAUACAACUUUCAACAACGGAUCUCUUGGCUCUCGCAUCGAUGAAGAACGCAGCGAAAUGCGAUAAGUAAUGUGAAUUGCAGAUUUUCAGUGAAUCAUCGAAUCUUUGAACGCACCUUGCGCUCCUUGGUAUUCCGAGGAGCAUGCCUGUUUGAGUGUCAUUAAAUUCUCAACUCCAAGGGUUUCACGACCUUUCGGAGAUUGGACUUGGAGGUGCUGGCCGCAUAUUGGUCUUUUUCUCUCAAAUGCAUCAGCGGAAUUCAACCUUUGGCUUCCGGAUGUCAGUGUGAUAAUCAUGUUGCGCUGUCGUUUGAUCCCUCAGAGUCCGCUUAUAAUGGUCUUCGGACAAAAUCAUCAUCAAAUUUGACCUCAAAUCAGGUAGGACUACCCGCUGAACUUAAGCAUAUCAA
rnacentral:misc_RNA from 1 species